AGGACGAACGCUGGCGGCGUGCUUAACACAUGCAAGUCGAGCGGUAAGGCUCCUUCGGGAGUACACGAGCGGCGAACGGGUGAGUAACACGUGAGUAAUCUGCCCUUCACUUCGGGAUAACCACCGGAAACGGUGGCUAAUACCGGAUACGACCAGCCUUCGCAUGAGGUGCUGGUGGAAAGUCUUUUCGGUGAAGGAUGUGCUCGCGGCCUAUCAGCUUGUUGGUGAGGUAAUGGCUCACCAAGGCUUCGAC
rnacentral:rRNA from 1 species